CUCCAUCCGUUCGAGUUUCUUCUUUUAGCUCUGAAAGGCACACUCUGUGAAGAAUAUCAUUCCUGGAUACCAUACCUGUUCCUGUACGAAGAACACCCUUGAGAGAUCAAAAGUGAUCUACCACACGCGAUGGAGCACCAAGAGGAUUCUCAUAUAUCACUUUUCUAUGGGGGAUACUUUCGUGGAGAAGUGUUAUAUCCCAUUCAAAGGACCAUUGGAGAUGAGUUUCACAUACACGAACUUCUCGGCGACGGAGAGACUUCCAAAGUCUAUCGCGGACUUCACGCCAGUACC